GGAAUAAUUCAGUUUCGAAGAAGACUGUCUAAUAUGUUUCAAGUUCAGCCAGUGAAGGACCUCAUAAGCUGGUCUUAUUAUAAGAGCUCAAUUUCCUACCAUAUUUUGAAAAAAUUCAUAUAAAUUUCACAAACUUUUUUAUAUAUUAAUCCAUAAUAAAAAAAAUUUACUACAUAAAAUUAGAGGGCACGGGAGGUAAGAGCACCUCACAUUCUUGCGUGAGCUGUCCCUCAUUAUAGCACUGUUUUGAAAAAUUACAAAAUACUCUUUUGUACACAACAUGGGUAUUUUUAUAUAUUCAAUUACACAAAAUGACGUUUUUGUGUGAUACCUCACGCAAUUAUAUGCGGUGUCCCUCACCUCUCUUUUUGCCUAUUAAAUGUUAAAUGUUAACAUUUAGAUAACUUAUCCUUACAAUAUAUGCAAGCAUUAAGGCCAAUAUAGUUCCAGUUGUAAAGCACAGGGUAAGUUGAAAAGCUGUCCACAAUUGUUUGAUAAUGUACAAUGAGGAAGGAUUCAGUUUGCACUGAAGGUAACACAGGAUUAUGGGAACAAGCCCAUAAAGAAUGCAGACAGAAACAAGGAGAUAGACAGAAGCUAGUGACAGAUAAGCCCUAAAAUUAACAAAUGAUUUGUGAACCCAACUGAAAAAAAGUUUGCAGUUAAGUCUGUUCUUUUCAUAUGAAGCUACAGAUGGUCUGUAGAUAUUCGAUAUCGGUUAGAUGCAAAAUAACUUUCCUUUUAGGAGAUAAUUUUGAAAAAGAAAAAAAAAAUGCAUUAUAGGCUUUAACAUCUAUUGAUUACACGCUUCUUGAUGUCUUCUCAUAAAAACCAUCAAGAAAGGCACCUUUAGAAUGAUUAGUACUUGAUAUUCUUUGCAUCGACAAUCUCCAAAAUUCUUAAUGAUGGAUCCUCGUCAAAUUUAUUCCUGAUUUACAGUCUUGUGAUGAUAUCAGACUCAGUGUUCUAAAAGUCGGCCUAGUAGACCGACUAGUCGGCAACUAGGUCGGGGUCGGAGGCUCGCUGAGUCGACCAGGCCUUAGUCUUUGAUUUAGUCGCUAGCCGACUUUGUCGGGCUCAAGUCGGGGCAAAUCGGAACAUAUCAGGGUAAAAACAGAACAAAUGUUUGGGGCCAUAGUGUAAUUUAUGGAUUGUGUUUAUAACUUUAAAAUUUAAACUCUACCUCUGCCGACUGCUACUGCUUCUUCUUUGAAAAAAAAAAUUGAUCGACCGACGACUGCUAUUGCUUCUUCUUCGACCGACGACUGCUACUGCGGUUACUUCUCCUUCUUUGACUGUUGCUGCCGACGACGAUUGCUACCGACUGCCGACGACUGCGUAGCAGACGACGACGACGAAGACUACCGACUGGUGCUCGCCUGCUCUUUAUCUUCAUCAUCUUCGGUGAUCAGGUAGUUCUUCUUCUCCGGCUCGUCUCUCUCUCUCUCUCUCAGUUUCUCUAUUUUUUUAUAAAUAGUUUACAAUCAACAGAAUACUGAUACAAGGCUUAUAAGGCAUAAGCAGUUUGUCAGCAAACUGGCAAAAUUUUUUUUUUUUUUGGUUUUAGUUAAUUAGUUCCUUAGUGAGCAUUAAAGAAAAGGUUGGAUAAAUUAAAUUAGUUAAUUUUUAGUUAAUUUUUUUAGUUAAUUGUUAUAUUUCAUUUUAAUUUUUAAAUUUUUUCAACUUCAGUUAUAAAUUAAAUUAUUAAAAUCGGACUGUGGGGUUUGGAGAAAUGACUGAUUUUAUAUUUUUAUGCAUAGGUUAAUUUGGUUAAUUUGUUUUCAUGUUUUGAACUUAGAGCGUUGAAUUAUUUGAUUUUACUUAGUUUCCAUGUUUUUAUUUGAUGAUUUGUGUUACUUAUGUUAUUCUACUUACUCAAAACUUAUGAAGGAGGAAGGAGGAUAUAUAUAUUUUUUUAAAAUUGAAAAUCCGACUAGUCGAUUAAUCCUCGAUUAAUCCCCUAGUCGCUAGUCAGUAGCCAACCGACAUGGCACCGACUAGCGACUUUUAGAACACUGAUCAGACUACAACGGCUUUAACAAAUUCCGGCAAAAUCAUUAAUGCGCAAAGUCAUGAAUUCAUAGGGUUAGUUACUUUUGUCUUAAUUCAUUCUUGUACAUAGUAGUUGCAUCCUUACAACUUUCCCGUUCUGCUCAGUUUCUGACACAAAUUUGUUGCACCUUUAGCUUGUAUUCUAGACAUAUCCACCAAAAUGCAACAAUCAAAGACAACGUCUCGGGCAUGUAACAACAGAUAGUAGUAACUAGUAAGUUUAAACAUCACCAUCAUCUUCUAAUCUGGCCAUGAAAGCAUCACACCAAACAACAACUGUUUAAGUAGCCAAUUUUUUUCCAAGCAUUUACCAAAAAUCAAGGGGUUAAACACGCAGUAGAGCAAAAGAUUACUGAUAGACACAUAAUUCAUACAUUUUAUUAUCCUUUUGUUCUUUUAAUUAUAUUAGUUAAUUAAAUUAAUAUGUUUUAUUUUAUUUUGUAGAAUUCAAUAUUUGUUGCAAUAAAGUCAAAAUCUUGGUGAUCAAGCGAUAUUUAAUGCUCUUAUUCAUGUAAAGAAUAUCCAAGAAGAAUCCUGCAAGGAGAAGGAAAGAGGUGGAACAAUCUUGGUGUGUAAAUUAAAUCCAACAAGAGAAAGGAAAGUCUAUCUAAAAGAUCUAUUUGAGAAGUUGAUUGUCACUAAGAAGUUGAAACCUACAUGGAAAGGGAACAAAAGUGUCCAAGUUCAAUGAAUUUAGGGUUCAAAGUUAUUUUUCCUAUAAAUAUAAAUAGGUCUCUUGUUUUAGAGAGGAGGAAUGAUUAGGUAUUUCUAUAUUAGUUUAGGUUAGGAGUAGGAGUAGAUUAAAUUACUUCUUUAUUGUACGUUCGUUGAAUGUUCGUUAAUUAAAUGGAGUUUUCUUAUUUAUUUUUAAUCUUCUUAUUUUCUUUAUUUUAGUUAGUUUAAUUACUUUUCAUGUCUAGCUAAUUUCUUUAAUCUAGGAUGAAGAUGAAAUUAAAUAAUUAUUCAUGAUAAUAUUUUUCGUCCCUUCUAUUAUUUAUGCUUUUAUGUUUAAUUGAUUUCUCCCUCAUGUUUUGUUAUUGAAAUACCUUCGUUUUAUAGUUCUUAUGUGAUUUUAAAUAAAUUAAGAGAUUUUGAUAGAUUAUUGUUAAGAUAUGAGUUUUACAUAAUCCAUGCUUGCUCAAAGAAGUUUUGAUGGGUUAUAGUUAAUCCUUAAAUUUUCAUAGUCUAUGCUUGCCCACGUUAAUUGUAAAAUUACUAAAUUAAAGGGAAGGGAGAUCAAAAUCAUAGUUGAGUUAUAAAAAUAGAAGAGAUUGAAUUAUAUGUUAUGUUUAUUAUUUAAUGGAUUCAGAUUCCUAGAUUGUUUACUCAUUAUUUGUUUUCAUAUUCUAGUUAAUCAAUUCUCAAUCUUUAUUUCUAAUUCGCCUAAAAUAGAUAUUAAGGAAACAUUAAAAUUAAUCUAGUGGUUCGACAUGUACUUGACAGUUCUUCAAUUUGACACUGUGCACUUGCAGUUACAUAUUUUUAACACAUCAAUUACCAUUCUUUCUUCACAAAGAUGACAAAGUAAUUUAUUUUUAGGGGAUUCUUCAAUCUCUAAACAAGCAAAGAUAUUCUUCUUGCAUAUCAUUGAUAAAGAUGGGUCUAUAAUAACUUCAAAAGUGAACACUUAACUGACUUUAAUGGGAAAGUCUUGAUUCGUAACCAAUUAUACAAUGUCUUCGAUGUGUACUCACUGAAAUAUCAGGCAUUCUAGUCUUGAUACCUUACAACAAUAAAGCUUCGUAUUCGCAAUGCAGUAUUCACCAAAUUAGCAAGUAAACUCGUUUUCCGCAUAAAAUACGUACUUGGCAAACCAACUUAUAAGUCACUGCCAAACAGGCUCUUGAUCUGCUUUUAAUUUGCCAAAAAGUUCUCUAAACUUAUUAAGGGGGAAAAAUGUACCUCUUCGAGGUUUGAAAAAAACAAACAAAUCACGAGCGUUCACAAAUUAAUAAAUUUACUGCAGAUGUGUAUAAAAUAAAAAUUUGGCCCAGUGUUUUUGAACCCUUGUCCAUCAAUGUCCAACUUUGUACCUCUUGCUGAAAUGUUCUCACAAAACCAUGAUAAUCAGGUUUGUUAUUAACUAAGUAGUUCAAAAUACAAAAUUAAGUAGAAGCACAAACAGAGAAACACAAAUAAACGCGUGAAAUUGUCAAUUUUUAUUCAAUCGGAGAAUUCAAACAAUACAUAUAUUAGUGUGUACGAAUGUAAUUGAAUUGGGGAAUAUUUAGGCGCCACUCUUACCUAGAUAUGAGAAGAUCUACAGGAAAGAUUGCCGUAGCAUAGACUGAGGGUUAUGCACCGACGGUCGACGGAAGGCAGAGUCGGGUGGCGAAUUUAACUACACUUUUAAUCUGACUUUUUUCUCCUUUUGGAGGUCGAGAGGAUAUAUAUUAAAGUAUUUUAUGGAAAGUGAUGGAUUUCAAAAUAGUUUAAAUACGAUUAUAAAAAUUGUAAAUUAUUUAGACAGUCAUAUCAACGGUUUUUUUUUUUU
rnacentral:lncRNA from 1 species